rnacentral:rRNA from 1 species
AUUGAACGCUGGCGGCAGGCCUAACACAUGCAAGUCGAACGAGUGGCGGACGGGUGAGUAAUGUCUGGGAAACUGCCUGAUGGAUGGGGAUAACUACUGGAAACGGUAGCUAAUACCGCAUACCAUCAGAUGUGCCCAGAUGGGAGUAGCUAGUUGGUGGGGUAACGGCUCACAAGGGCGACGAUCCCUAGCUGGUCUGAGAGGAUGACCAGCAAAACUGGAACUGAGACACGGUCCAGACUCCUACGGGAGGAAGCAGUGGGGAAUAUUGCACAAUGGGAGCAAGCCUGAUGCAGGCAUGCCGCGUGUAUGAAGAAGGCCUGAGGGUUGUAAAGUACUUUCAGCGGGGAGGCGGUACCCGCAGAAGAAGCACCGGCUAACUCCGUGCCAGCAGCCGCGGUAAUUC